rnacentral:rRNA from 1 species
CAGUAGCCGCGGUAAUACGUAGGUGGCAAGCGUUGUCCGGAAUUAUUGGGCGCAAAGGGCUCGCAGGCGGUUUCUUAAGUCUGAUGUGAAAGCCCCCGGCUCAACCGGGGAGGGUCAUUGGAAACUGGGAAACUUGAGUGCAGAAGAGGAGAGUGGAAUUCCACGUGUAGCGGUAAAAUGCGUAGAGAUGUGGAGGAACACCAGUGGCGAAGGCGACUCUCUGGUCUGUAACUGACGCUGAGGAGCGAAAGCGUGGGGAGCGAACAGGAUUAGAUACCCGAGUAGUCCCUGUCUCUUAUAC